AUGGGUGCCGAAACUAAAAUGCGCUACUCACGCCUCACUCACACCCUGCUCAUAGAGGAUAGUCUGGAGGUUUUUGUACAGCGAGUGAAUGAGAAUGAAUCACUGUGGUGGACUUUUGGUGGAGGAACCAAACUGAGUGUUGGAACUGACACCCAACCGUCUCUAACGGUCCUGCCGCCCUCCAGAGAUGAGUUGCAGCAGGGUGAAGCUACAGUCAUGUGUGUCGGCAGUAAGGGAUUCCCCUCUGACUGGAAGUUGAGCUGGAAGGUGGAUGGUGGCAGCAGAAACUCUGGUGUGAAUGUGAGUCCUGGUGUGCUGCAGAAAGAUGGACUGUACAGCUGGAGCAGCAGUCUGACUCUCACUGAGAGAGAGUGGAGCAGUGCAAAAUCCAUCAGCUGUGAAGCCACUCAGGGCUCCCAGAAACCAGUCACCAAGAUCCUGGACACACAGCAGUGUGAUGUGGAGUGACAGUGCACGCACACACACUCACAGAUGUACACACUGAUAGGACUUCACAUGCACACCUAUAGUAUACAGUGUACUCACACAUUAACAUACACUGUCACACACUGUCCUACAUCAGUAAAUUGGUCAACAGUUAAACUUUCCUCUCUCCAAGCAUGCAGCUUUAACCUUGUUUUAUGUUUUGCAAUGCACUGUGUUGAAUUGCUGAUUCUUUCAUUGCCAAAUAAAAGCAUUUUAAGUCAUU